GAUGAAGCUCGUGAGAUUUUUGAUGAAAUUGAGUCAUGAAACUGUAACCAUUGCAUUGAAGAACAGAACACAGGUCCAUGGAACAGUCACAGACAGUUUACCUCUGGAUACACUACUUGUGGAUGUUGAACCUAAGGUGAAAUCUAAGAAAAGGGAAGCUGUUGCAGGAAGAGGCAGAGGCAGAGGAAGAGGAAGAGGACGUGGCCGUGGCAGAGGAAGAGGGGGUCCUAGGCGAUAAUGUCUCUCAG
rnacentral:lncRNA from 10 species